GAUGAAGAACGCAGCGAAAUGCGAUAAGUAAUGUGAAUUGCAGAAUUCAGUGAAUCAUCGAAUCUUUGAACGCACAUUGCGCCCCUUGGUAUUCCGAGGGGCAUGCCUGUUCGAGCGUCAUUAUAACCCCUCAAGCUCAGCUUGGUGUUGGGGCCUGCUGCACUGGCAGCCCUUAAAAUCAGUGGCGGCGCCAUCUGGCUCUAAGCGUAGUAAUUCUUCUCGCUAUGGAGUCCUGGUGGAUGCUUGCCAUCAACCCCCAAUUUUUCUAUGGUUGACCUCGGAUCAGGUAGGGAUACCCGCUGAACGUAAGCAUAUCAAUAAGCGGAGGA
rnacentral:misc_RNA from 1 species